UCAAGCCCCACGUCCCCCACCUCCCUUUCCCCCCACGUACAUCAAGCCCCUUCUCCUACGCCCAUGGCUAACCCUAGCCGCCACUGUCGCCAGCGCACUACGCUGUCUUGGAUGCCAGCGCGGCUCCGACGCCUCAUGGCGCUCCUCAUCGAGGUAUCAUGCCCGCUCUACUGCAUCACUGAGGCCGUCGAGCGCGAGGGCAUGCACUCCCGGCCGCAGCAGUGGUUCCCGAUCUGCGCCGCGGCCAGGGGGAGCUGCCGUGCCGGGACCGCGCGGCAAGCAUGCAGACCUGCGACUCCUCCGACGGGAGGAGGAGAACAUGGUGGCGGCGGGCCAGUGGGAAGGGGGCGUCCGGGUCGACGAGGCGCUGCGAUACGAGGCGAAGGACGAGGACGAGGUGGGGAUCACCGUUUGCACGCACGGGUAGAUCGGCGGCGAGCCCGACGCCAGCGCUACCAACAUCGGCACCAGUAGGGGCGCACUCAAGGAAGGCGCGGGCGUGGCGGACCAGAUGCAGAAGCAGUGGACCAGGGCCGACACGGUGCUCGUGGGCGCCUGGCGAAUUUGCAGGCGUGGCGUCAUGACCGGGCACAGAAGAAGGUCUCGGCAGCACCCAAUGGCAGGCUGAACGGCAUGGGUGGCAUAUCAAAAUCCUCGUGGCGUCCAUAGGGCAGUGGGAAACCAUGUUCUUGGGGAAAAAAUUGUAGCUCGCAUGGUGAGAUGCUCACCAGUAGUCAUAGUUGCAGUUUUGGUGCGUCAACGUCAAGUGGUGGAUACAUUGUUGGCUUGAAUUUGCAUGUCCCCUGAAGGUUCUAAGUGAGUGUUGCAUCAAAGGGUGUUGUUAUGAUUUCCUCGAGGUAUGGAUCAGGGAGUCAGGUUUACAUGAUUUAGCUCGUUGUUGGCUGGAAGAUUACAACAAAGAAUAUAUAGGAUGACAAUCUUUACAAUGCUCUGGGAGCGGGGCACAUCUUACGUUUAAGAGGGCCGAGAAAGAUCGGAUUUUGGUUGACAAGAUUCUGGGAAUGGUAGAUGUUUUGACUAGAAAAAUCAUAGCUUCGGAGAAUGAAAGAGGAAGAGUUCACAUGAUAUGAUGGCGUACUCCUUCUCUCAAUGCUGGAUGAAUACAUGAUCGUUUGGCAGGACAAAGAACAGGAAAGAAAAGACAAAGAGAUCAGAAGAAGCUCCAGGAUUAACUCAAAGCUGAGCAGGAAGCUCUCUACGGUUUAAGAAAAAAAAUCCAUCCAAGACUCAAAGUAUAAAGAAGUCACCUAGACACUCAAUUGGUGGUGUAAACCAUAGGGUGUCCAUUGGUGGAGCCAUGAUGCAAGCACCCAAAACAGACGUUAUAUUUGAAGAAUGUUCAUGCUGCCAAGAGAAUUGAAGACAUUGCCUGUUUGUCCCCUGGUAAGCCCCUAUCAGGUUUCAUAGUUUUAGAAUGAGUCUCGAGAUUCACAGUGGGUGGAACAUCAGAAAAUUAGGGAACCAGAACAUAAACUCUCUGAAAAAUAUCGUAUAUUCAGACAUAGAAGACUUAAUGUGGUAGAGAUUAUAGUUAUUAAGCAAACAAGUUUUUUCUAAUUUAUAUCCAACCAUAUUUAGUGGGUUUUAACUAUAGUUAAUUUCUAAUAACCAGGCUAUUGUUACGCUUUUCUAGAAUUUGUUCUAGGCUUGGGCUUAUAGAUUUGUUGAUGAACUUGACUCUAAUGCUUAUACCACUUACCUUGCAGAAAGGCUUUGUUUUAUUGGUGUUUAACCAUCAUCGAUAUAGAGGAUGAAUAAAUGUUCUUGGAAGAUGUUGCUUGAUUUUUGAGCCCAUGUGCUAUGCUAAUAUUUUGGUUGGUGUUUUUUGUGUUCUCCACUGGAAUAACCAUAGCUUGGCUUUCCUGAUGUUAUUGCUCUGAAGUGUCUACCUUGGUUAAAAUCACUUCGUGUUAUCUCAACUUUGUGUUGCCUUCAUGCCAAAUCCUACAGAGCUUUGAUGAUGUUCUGUGCCAAUUUUCUUUUAGAAUUAUACUUUCUUUCAUGUUUGAUAUUUGAUCCUUAAUUAGUAUCUACUGCCCAUGAUUUUGUUGUUACUGGAAGCAUCGCCUUGAAUGUCGUUUAGCUUUGAAAGGGAAAGGUUUCAAUAGGGGAUUUUAUUACUGUUAGAGGGUAGGAUGUUCAACCGUGCAUUCAAUUUUUUUCUCUGACUCUGUAUUGCUUUACUAUUGCGGUGAAUUAUAUUUUUAUCCAGUUUUGCUCCUCUUGAUGAUUGGAAGUUAGCAUUGCUCCUGUUAGAGCAAGAGUAUACCAAAGCAAGAUCCAACCGAGCUAAGGAUGUAAGUUCACUGGAUUGUCUUUGAACACUGUUUCGCUUAUGCAUUAUUUACUACGGUUUGACAUGGAUUAGCUUGGCUUUGCAUCUGGGAUCUCUCUUGCUUUCCCAACAACUUCAGAAGAGGUUUCUGGAUUAGGUAUGGUGUAUUCAGUUAGCAUUAUGUCUAUGAGUGCAGGUUAUAUGAAAGUAAACGAAACCAUAGUUUUUAGUCCUAAAACAGAGAGGUAGACUGAAGAAAAUAUGUCCUGCUCGAAAACGACUCGUGUACUUACAACUAAAAUUAGAAGAGGUGCUCCAGUUCACUGUGCAUAAGAUAUUAGAGCAUACACAUGAUUAUUCCUUUUAAUAUAUCCCAUUGUAUGAGAAUGGAAAUACAUGUACGCAAGGCCAUAUUUUCUGCUUAAAGUAAAGAAAUACAAACCAAACUUUAUCUACUCACAAUACGUGUCUACUAAACAUGUAUGUAUAACAUAUAUAUCAACUACAAUAGCUUACAGUUAGUAUCAUGGAGUCAAUUAGUACAAAUGAAUUUAUUGGAAGUUUCUUGGUCUUAGCAAGCAAGCCCAACUUGCAUACAACAGAAUAAUUAAAUUGUACAAAAAUCAGAUGUCUAUGUUCUUAAUUAUUUAGUACAUCAAUUUAACCAAGGAUCAGCAUUAAACUAACCAAGUACUCCCUCCGUUCCUAAAUACUUGUCUUUCUAGGCAUUUUAACAAGUAACUACAUACGGAGCAAAAUGAGUGAAUCUACACUCUAAAAUAUGCCUACAUACAUCCGUAUGCAGUAGUCAUUUGAAAUGUCUAGAAAGACAAGUAUUUGGGAACGGAGGGAGUAGAUACAAUGGACUAUAAUUAGUUUGCUUUUCUAUUUCUGGGUAACCUUCUUAUGCCAUCAUUUUCUGAGUAUUUUUAUGCUGCAGGUAUCUGGUGCAGAGCCGAUGGAGAGAAGCAACAUCAUGAUGCUGCUAAAUCUUAGUGGUCUUUCUUUCACUAUGGUGAUCUGCUUCUUAUCUGUUCUAGGUGUCACUGUCAUAGCUUGCUUAGCAUUACUCAGAUAUACGCUAGGCAGUGGUUACCUUCCUUCUUUUGAAGGUUGUAAACACACAUUUAAGUCACACAUACACCAUACAAGGUAUUGAAUAACAUAUCCUCUAAUUUUUACAGGCGUCUUUUUGUUUUCCAGAAUUUUUGGUUAUAGCAUGCUACUUCUAUCUCUUGGAUAUAUAAGCUAAACUCAACUAGAAGUAGUAUUUGCUAAUUAUCUAUUUGCAAUUCAAUUGUUUAGUUAUUUUAGGGCCGUUAGUUCAUUGAUUUAAUGACUUGUACCUUUGUUGGGUACAUUGCAGAUGAGCCUUUGGUAUAUGCAGCCACACUCCCUUGCCGCCACCUGCUACUUCAAGUCCGCCGACGCCCACAUUGGAAACUAGGGCUUCUCCAUAGCCCACGUCAAUCUCCACCUCGCCCUCCUCGCUGGUAUACAUGCAUCUCAUUCAGUUUGUUCGUUGUAAAACUUGUAGUGUCCACAAUUCAAAAGUAGGAGUUCACAGAAAACUGCUUCUCUGAAUCACUCAUUGUUCAGUUUUGUUUUCUUGUGGUUAAUUCAAAGAUCCAUUGCCAAAAGUGUGAAUAUGAUUGCAAAUAUGCUUAUCUUUUGAACUCUGGAACUGUUGCCUAUACAUGCCUAUUAUUGCUGAAUAUGAUGGAAAUGUGGAUGUUCACUGUGGUACUAAUAUAAGACCUUUUAUAGAUCUCUACUUUAGAGAUCUAUAAAAGGUUUUAUAUUAGUAUAUAGAGGGAGUAUUUAUUAGGAAGCAGCUAAUAGGACUUCCAAUAAGCAAGAAGUUUCCUAUAAUUUUCCUGGAUGCAAUAGGAUGAACUUUGAUUUUAUUGGAAGGUGCUAUAGUAUAAAUUUCAAAGACCCACUUCAGUUGUUGCUGUUAUGGAUUUAUAAAUCUUAAACAUGGCAGUCUUUUGGUGAAUACAUCUAUUGUAUUUUGGUGAAUAAAAUGUGUCAGACAGAUCCCCACUCUUCAGCAGAGCUUAUAUAACAUUCAAAUUGUCUAUUAGAUUAGUUUCUCACUGCACUUUGUUUCAUUUUUUUAGUUUGGAUCGAGUGUAAAUGUAAGGAAGAUACUGUUGUCACAUAGUUUUUUUUGAAAGAUCCAGCAAUUGCUGGCUUUUCAUUGAUUAUAUCAGGAAGCAGCGAGAAAACAAAGGGGAGGUGAAGAUCCGAGGAUCAAGUGUGUAGGGCCAGUCACAUGCGGCCGAAAACCCUAGUACAGGAGAAGGAAAAUUUCUCUCAGGGUGGCUCCCCGAAGGGGCUCUCGAUGCACGUUGCACCUGCGAUCCUCCAGAGCUCAAUGCUGUCUCGGAUGCGCCUGAUGAUUUCUCGCAUGCUCGGGAGGUUGCUUCGAAAAGUGCAGUUGUUUCUUUCUUGCCAAAUUUCCCAGCAAGUGAGCAGUGGGAUUGACCGCGCACCAUGUCGUCGUGAUGGAUCAGUGCGCGCCAAAAUGUUGUGGAUGAUCGUGCUGGAGUUUCUGCGGCUCCAGCAAUCUGCAGGGGAGAGGGCGGAGCAGCCGUGCCAUUGCCCGAUCGCAGUGCAGACCUGUCUAGACUCCGGGCAGUUCCAGAACAGGUGGUGCGAUGAUUCGAGGCUUCUGACGCAGAGUUUGCAGAAGUAGCCAUUCGGCCAGCCCCUUCUCUGCAAUCUGUCGUUGCACCAGAGCCUGUCACGCAGCAGUAGCCACGAGAAGAUUUUGAUCUUCCCCGGGGCCCAGGCUUUCCAGAGCAAGUGGUCGAAGUUGGUCGACGUCCUGCCCUGAAACUGAGCUUGGUAUGCGGACCUGGCCGAGUACGUCCCGGAGCUUGAAUGCUUCCAGGUCAGGUCGUCUGGCACUCCUGGUUGGAGGGGCAGCGCCAAUCGUUGCAACUCGCGGUGCAAGGCUAGAACGUCCUUGAGGAGGUGCUGAUUUUGCCCGUGGGCAAGAUCUCGGAUCCAGGUGUCGUCGCUGAGUGCGUCGUGGACCGAUCGGUGCUUUCUCCGAGAGUGGGUGAAGAGCUCGGGGAAGCGCUGGGAGAGGGUUGCAUGCCCGAGCCACGGGGAGCGCCAGAAGGAUGCCCGCAUCCCGUCUCCGAUCGUCACCUUCGUCGAGGCCGAGAAGAGUGCCCAGUCCGCCUCGUCGCAUGGCAAUUCAGAGCCGACCCAGGGCCUUUCCGGGUGGUGCCAGGCGAUCCAGAGCCAACGAAGACGGAGUGCUCUACCGAAGCGUUGCAGGUCGGGGAUGCCUAGGCCUCCAUGCUCCGUGGGGGCACACACUGUCGGCCAAUUGACCUUGCAGCUGGCACCCGUGAUCUCUUCAUCUUGGCGCCAAAGGAAACGUCGCCUGCACUUGUCGAUCUCCCUGAGGUCCAUCUAUGAGUUACUAGGAGGUAGCUCCUGCAUGUUGAUUGUGCUUCAGGGUACAGUAAUUUGUAGCAUACUAAAUUAGUGGUUCGUAUAUGUUGUGCAUCCUAGGGACAAAGUUUGAUCCGUAGGUAGUUGAAGAAGUGAACAACUUCUGCUCUUUGCAUUGCAUGUUUCCUAUGUUCCAAAAAUUGAUGUGUAUUCAGGCGUGCUAUGUGACGCGUUGGAAGAAUAUGAUGGGAGGAGGAGACACAACACUCCACUCCACUUCCUAUUA